CCAAAAACAAAAAAUCCUACCAACAAAGAGGUGAUGGAGACCUUGGCGGAGUUAAGGGCACAAGUACUCGAACUGCAAAAGGAGAAUGCAAGGUAUAGAGAGGAAAGGUGCGGUUCCGAGGCAAAAGAUACUAGUGACCGAGCUAGUAUCAAUUGUCAACCGAAAUUUCCCUAGGGCAUUACACCUUGUCAGCUGUAUCUAUCGUCACCAACUUAUCGCAUAGUUGGCAAGGGAAAAGUGCACAACACUUCGGGUGAAUUACUUCACCAUAAUCCCCUCCCGGUGGGAUAUAUGAAAGUUUCGGUUGACCUUGUAUUAGAUACGGACGCGCUUCUACCAUUACCUGACGUUGUUUCAGAGACAACAUUGAUGCGAGAUGCAGUCGGAUCCUUUGUUGGAUGGCCGUCAGAUCUAAUUUUCCCAGAUGCCGAGACUCCUACAAGACCCACACAUAAAGCUGGUAAAGGGAUUUCAAGACGCA